rnacentral:rRNA from 1 species
AGAGUUUGAUCCUGGCUCAGGAUGAACGCUGGCGGCAUGCCUAAUACAUGCAAGUCGAACGAGAGGAAGGAAAGCUUGCUUUUCUGAAUCUAGUGGCGAACGGGUGAGUAACACGUAGGUAACCUGCCCAUGUGCCCGGGAUAACUUCUGGAAACGGAUGCUAAAACCGGAUAGGUAGCAGACAAGCAUUUGACUGCUAUUAAAGUGGCCUUGGCCAUGAACAUGGAUGGACCUGCGGUGCAUUAGCUGGUUGGUGAGGUAACGGCCCACCAAGGCGACGAUGCAUAGCCGGCCUGAGAGGGCGGACGGCCACAUUGGGACUGAGACACGGCCCAAACUCCUACGGGAGGCAGCAGUAGGGAAUUUUCGUCAAUGGGGGGAACCCUGAACGAGCAAUGCCGCGUGAGUGAGGAAGGUCUUCGGAUCGUAAAGCUCUGUUGUAAGAGAAAAACGGCACUCAUAGGGAAUGAUGAGUGAGUGAUGGUAUCUUACCAGAAAGUCACGGCUAACUACGUGCCAGCAGCCGCGGUAAUACGUAGGUGGCGAGCGUUAUCCGGAAUGAUUGGGCGUAAAGGGUGCGUAGGUGGCAGAUCAAGUCUGGAGUAAAAGGUAUGGGCUCAACCCGUACUGGCUCUGGAAACUGAUCAGCUAGAGAACAGAAGAGGACGGCGGAACUCCAUGUGUAGCGGUAAAAUGCGUAGAUAUAUGGAAGAACACCGGUGGCGAAGGCGGCCGUCUGGUCUGGAUUCUGACACUGAAGCACGAAAGCGUGGGGAGCAAAUAGGAUUAGAUACCCUAGUAGUCCACGCCGUAAACGAUGAGAACUAGGUGUUGGGGGAAUAACUCAGUGCCGCAGUUAACGCAGUAAGUUCUCCGCCUGGGGAGUAUGCACGCAAGUGUGAAACUCAAAGGAAUUGACGGGGGCCCGCACAAGCGGUGGAGUAUGUGGUUUAAUUCGAAGCAACGCGAAGAACCUUACCAGGCCUUGACAUCCCUUGCAGAGGUAUAGAGAUAUAUCCGAGGUUAUCAAGGAGACAGGUGGUGCAUGGUUGUCGUCAGCUCGUGUCGUGAGAUGUUGGGUU